UCCGGUGUGGUCUAGUGGCUAUGAUAUUGCGCUUUCAUGGGUUCGCUCAGAAGUGCCGCAAGGAUCGGGGUUCGAUUCCCCGCAUCGGAG
rnacentral:tRNA from 1 species